rnacentral:rRNA from 1 species
CCCUUAGAUGUUCUGGGCCGCACGCGCGCUACACUGACUGGUGCAACAAGUGUCGCUCCUUGGCCGAUAGGCCUGGGCAAUCUUUGAACGCCAGUCGUGAUGGGGAUAGAUUCUUGCAAUUUUUGAUCUUCAACGAGGAAUUCCUAGUAAACGCGAGUCAUCAACUCGCAUUGAUUACGUCCCUGCCCUUUGUACACACCGCCCGUCGCACCUCCCGAUUGAAUGGUCCGGUGAACCCUCCGGAUCGGCCCGCGCCAACGCAAGUUGAGCAAAGGCCGAGAAGUUGGGUAAACCUUACCAUUUAGAGGAAGGUGAAGUCGUAACA